CUUGAUUUGAUAUCUCAUUGCGUGAAAGUUUAUGCAAACAAAAGUGGAGGCUUUAAGUAUAAUUCUUGCCCUCAAGUAGUCCCAAUAUUGUUCCUGUAGCACUCGACUCGAGUGGGUACGGCCAUAAGCAUAUGGACUGUCUGUCAAGUUUUAUGAUAUUGAAAAAGCUAUCGAGUGACGGAAUGACUCAGUGCUCUAAUUCUUACGUCGCCAAUGAGAAAAAGUAAAAGUGCAAACAAAUCCAUGUGGACUAGCAUGAAUUUAUCUAAAACAGACAAUAUUCAUUAGGUCUAGAGAGGGGCGAACUGUUACAGUUCCUGUUGCUUAUUCAUGUUUUCAUGUUAGGCAAAUGCACCAUCCCCAUGAUUCUUUAGAUUUCUCGGUUUGGAUCUGUUUGCCCAAAUUAGGCCUCCAGUUUCAUAGAAACAUACACACAUACCAUAAAAACACAUGAAAUCAUGUGCUCCAAAAAUUGCAUAUAAAUUAAUUUGA